GCGUCGCUGGCCCAGUGGUACGGCGCCGCCCUCCCAUCGUCCAAAGCGAAUGAGAGGCGGAGAUCACGGGUUCAAUCCCCGUGCGGCGCA